UGGUUAUUGUCAAAUCGGCUGGAGAAAUUGAUAGAUAUUGGGAUUGCUAUAUAGAAGGCACUUUCAAGUCGUCUUGAUGUCACAAGCUGCUUGUAACUCCCCUGAACGUUGGUUCAACCUUCGUUGGUGAUCCCCUAGUGAUGUCUCUGCCUGCUCAGCUAGCAAUCUGCAACCCAACACAGGAUCAAGAGCCUGGGAGCGGACCUGUUCCUCCAGAGUGGAUAUCAUAGCCUGGAAUGACUGGACCCUGGAU